CAUCGCAAAUAUAUUUUCCUCUACUUCUUACUCUAGAUUCUAUUACUCCUCGUCAUGUCGGGGCUCGUAGACCUAUGGACUUCUGAGCAGGCUAAACUCCGCCACGAGGGUGGCUCCUCCCCCGCCGCUCCCACCGUUGAUGUGGCUGAACAAGGAAGAUGGAACUCCACUGAGUUAACUCGAGUUUGGGACCGAGUAAGACGACUCGGUAUGAAUGGGAAGAUGUGUUCUGAAGCUUCUGUUUGUAUGUUGGUUGAAUUUAUGAGUCCAUAGAGAUUCAAAACAUCUCACUGUACAUAAAACACUUUCAAUAAAACUUUCCUUUUUCAAUAUCUAUAAUUUGCCUUUAGUUACUUGGGUUAGAGAAUACGAGUAUUAUAUAUCAAUUCAAUUAUGUUCCUUUUGGCUUGAAAUACUAUUUUUAAUAUAACUAUGCGGUGGGGUGGGAAUUGAACUUUCGACCUUACCUUCAAUUUCAAGAAGGUUUGAAUCAAGAUUUGCCAUUUCUUCAACUUUCACUUUCACUACUAUCAUCCCAUGUAGCCUUCAUUGUCUUCUUCUUGGAUUUCUUAGAUGAUUUGAGGAGAGGACAAUCCGUUCUUAUAUGACCCAAUCUUUUGCAUUCAUAACAAAUCACCUCAUCUUUUUUGCUUUUCUCACCUUUUGACUCUUUUUAGAUUGAUAGGUGUUUCUUGAAAUAUUUCUUUCUUUUUAUGAAACUUUUGUAUUUACGUGAGAAAUAAGCAAUGUCAUCUUCAUCAAGGCCAUCCUCAUCUUCGGGAUCAACUUUCAAGGAGAUAGUCUUUAAUGCAAUGGUCUUUUUCUUUUUUGACUCAUCCUCCAAGUGUUCAUUCAUGAUGAUCUCAUGAGUCAUGAGUGAGCCAAUAAGCUCCUCUAGUGGAAGUUUGGUGAGAUCCUUUGCUUCUUGAAUUGCCGUUACCUUAGCUUCCCAAGUCUUAGGUAGAGACCUUAGAAUUUUUCUAACAUUUUCAGAAGUUGUAUAAACUUUACCAAGACCCUUCAAAGCAUUUAUGAUGUUAGUAAAUCUAGUAAACAUAUCGGUGAUAGUCUCAUUAGCAUCCAUCUUAAACAAUUCAUAAUUAUGAACAAACAUGCUAAUUUUAGACUCUUUAACUUGAUUUGUUCCUUCAUGAGUAAUUUCAAGAGUAUUCCAAAUUUCUUGAGCGGAAGAACACAUGGAUAUUCUAUUAAAUUCAUCUUUACUCAAGGCACAAUACAAACAAUUAAUAGCCUUAGCAUUUAAAGAACACUUUUUCAUUUCAUUUUCAUCAUACUCUUCUUCUAAUUUAGGCGUAUCAACAUUAUCAACAUUUUUCAUGGGUACAUAAAGACCUUUAGCAACAAUUAACCACAAAUUAUAGUCAAUAGAUUGCAAAUAAAUUUUCAUUCUUGCUUUCCAAUAUGCAUAAUUUGAAUCAUCAAAAUAAGAAGGUCUAGAAAUAGAUUGACUUUCAACAAUCCCAUUUGCCAAUAGGUUUGCUAUAAUGCUCUAACAAGAAAGUUUAUCAAGAAAUUAAAAUUUCAAGAUGAGCAACCUUACUCUGAUACCAAUUGUUGGAUCGGUAUGGCAGCCCUAGAGGGGUGAAUAGGGUUUAAAUAAACUUUUUGACAAAUAAAAAGUAAAAUCAACUAAUUAGAUAUUUUUUUAAUUUAAAUGAUUGAAAAACUUUGUAAACUUUGUUAAAUAAUCAAGAUUGAUAAAAAGAUAUGAAUGGAAGUAUACAAUCAAACUCAACCAAUAAGAAUAUGUAACUAAAAUUAAAUUAAAAAAUAAUUAGAAAAGAGUUAGAGAAGAAGACACCGUAAUUUUAUAGUGGUUCGGUUAAACUCAACCUACAUCCACUUUCCCAAGCACCUCUUGGGAUUUUGAUUGAAAAUCUUCUUUGGACUCUUUCCACGGAUUUGAGCCGAACCGAUUCUUGCUCCUUUUUCGGGUUCAAGAGCAAACCCGAUCCUUUCCACGGGUUAGGAUCCAACCGUUACAAUAUGUUGAAAUUUUUAAAUCACACAAAAGAAAACUCUCUAAAAGAGUGAGUAUACAAUUUGAAGCUCACAAAUUUAAUCCUCACAAUACAAUAAGAAGCUCUCAAGAAUAAGAUGAAAAGAAUAAAAAUUGGAAGCUUUAGGGAGAAUAACAAUGUUGGUUUUUUGCACUUUUUCAGGAUUGUAAAGAUUUAAUGAUCUUGUGUCUUUUUAAAAUUUGGGAAAAGUGAAGUAUUUAAAAAGAGAGAAAAGAUAAAUUCAAAAUCAUUUUGGGUCAUUAGAUAUAAGUAAAAGAAAAAUAAAUGAUUGAGAUUUAAACUCAAUUAGCCGUUAGACACAAUACAAAUAAUAAUAUAAUAAUAUGGCUUUUCAAAAUACUUUGUUUAAAAAAAAACCAAUAAAGCAACUUCACCAUUUUUUUUAAAAAAAAACUAGCCGUUAGACAAGGAAAAAUAAUAAUAUUAAAGUCAUUUUCUUUAUAAAAGCCAGUAAAACAUAACCAAAAGCCACAUUUGUUACUCCUUCAUUGCUCCAAGUGGCUUUCUCUAAUUGGUUCAAAUUGAAUGCUUGGUCGCCACGUCACCAUCUCGGGUAUUUUUUCGUUAAGCUUCUUUUAGCAAUAUUUUCUUCAUUUGAACUUCGAUUUGGGUGAUUCAAGAGGCGUUAGAAUCAUUUUUCCAAGCUCUACGAUAUGGUCUAUUCAAAUUAAUAAAAUUGUCAAUAAAAAAAAUCAGAUUUGUUAUCAUCAAAACAUAAAUUAAUUGAAUAAUUAAAAUAAAUUAAUUUGAGAUUAAGGGCCAAAAAGCCAACAAUCAACUCAAGUGAGAUCUUUAAAUAAGAACCGAGAUAACAUACUAAAAUACCUAAAAGGAAACGAUUGCUAGCCUACUCAAUAUGCAAAUGACAAUAAAAACAUAAUUUGUAAACAACAGUAAGCAAUAUUCACCUUAUUUUUCAUGAUGGCUUCCAAAGAUAUGAAAUGUGAAAGGAAAGAAGAGAAAACUCAAACAAUUGUAGAAAGUUUCUUGGGAGUUGGUGGUGAAACUUCUUGAGAUAACCAUUUCAUUUUUCAAUAUAACAAUUAUAUUUUCGGUUAUGAGAGCAUUUUCGUCACAACUGAAAAAUUAAAUCUGGGAUGCAUGUUACUAUAUUCACAAAAACUCGAGCAAAUCUCCAACAUACAAAUUAUAUUAUAUCUUGGGAUCGAUUAUGGUCGAGAUUUUUCGAAAAAAACAAAAAUGUAAUUUUUUUUAAACUAUGCUACUUUUGAAAUGUAAAACCUAAGCUGUGUUGUUUUUGUCAAUUUGUCAUUUUUUUUCUUACAAAAUUUCAUGUAAUGUUUCAUGAAACAAAAGGCAAAGCAAAAACAUAUCUAAAAUCAAAUCACAAACUCAUUUAUAAAUUUAUACAUAAUUUAUUGAGAAGCACAUGUUUUGAUUUAAUUUAAGAACAUGCGUUGAUUUUCUUUCUAGUAGGAUAAAAAAAAGUUCCAAAGAAGUUUAAAAAGUCUAACUUAAACGGACCAUAAAUCUACCUGUGAUUUUGUUUUUGGAUAAUUAAGGAUUUGUAGAAUUUUUUUAAGAAUAAUAAUUAAGUGUAGAGCAACAUUUUCAAAAUAUUGUAAAUUUAGCAAACUCAAAAUGGUUAUCGAGUGAUGGAUAUAUUAUAUUUCUAAUAGAUUAUUUUGACAGAUUUAACUAUAUUUGUAAUGUUUUAAGAUGUUGUUAUUUAUCCUAACAUUUUGAAUCUAAUUAUUAUGGUUUCAACUAUCAUAUGUGUUACUUUUUAGUAGUAUAAAUUUGGGUAAAGAAAUUUGAACGAGGUACGAAUCUUUAAGUUUUAGCUGUGAUGAAAUUUAUACAUAUACCAUCCAAAUUUGAUCUUUUUAAAUGAUAUUUUUUUUGAGUUGACUCAAUUUUAGUAUCAAUAUACUUUUAUAAUUCAAUUAUAGUCCUCCUACUUUCAAUAAAUUUUAAAUUUCACUACUAUGUAAAGAAAUUUACAUGAAAUUUAAAUAAAUGUCAUGACCAUUUUUACAUGAAUAAUUAAACAAUUGACUUUCAUGCAAACAAAUAUAGUAUGUGAAAUAUAUUUUCAAAAUUUAUAUAUAGUAAAAGGUUUUUAAAAAUGAACAAUAAAACUAGCUUUAUCGUUGGCUAAAUUUAUGAUUUAUUGAAAGUGUGCGUGGAUAAAAGUUAGAUAAUUGAAAAUGUAAGAACUAAAAUAUAACAAUUUUGAAGAUAUAGGGACGAAAAUGAAUUUUAACCGUCAUCAUUAAUAUAAAUUAAAAUGAUUAAUAAUAAUUUUAGUUAACAAUGUUCUACAUUAUAUAUUCCAAUUCGGAGUAUGAUUGUGUCAUUACUACUAUUCAUUACAAUAUUAUUGUACCAAAGGAUUAAAAUACUGAUAUGUCAUUGUUGAUAUCGAGAUUUCAAUUUUAUGAAUAUAUUAAUAAAAUAUCAAUAUCGACACAUAUUAAUUUCUAAAAGUUACAAAUUUUUUAAAUUUAUUUAGAUUAUUAAUUUUAUUUUUAACCCAAAACUAAGUUAUAUCCAUACAGUUAUUAGUAUAUUAAAUUUAUAUUAGAAAUAUUAGAUGUAUAUAUUGUCUUUUACGAGCAUUUAUUAAAGAUGUUGGAUAUAUCCAUAGAUAUUUAAUAUAAUUCAUAUCUAACUCAUUGACUUACAAAUCCAUCCACAAAUAUAUCGCAUAUGCAUGGAUAUAUUUUAAUCCUUCGUUAUACCUUCCUAAACAAAACAAAUGCAUAACACAUCUUUCUUCCAACAAUGAAAAAUUUCUUCCAGGUAAUAAUCAAUGUUAUCAAGGACAAAAGGUACAAAAGAUGAAUAAAUAAACACAAAUAUAUUUUUGUUUAAAAGUUUCAAAUUAAGAUUAUACAAUGUUAUUGAAAUACUAUUUGUAUUCCUUUUUUCGAUCAAAUGUAACAACAACAAUCUUUUUCAUUCGAAGAGCCAUCUAACUUGGGAUAGCAAAACCCACCAUUUUUUGUCUGUUUGAGACAAUCAUUAUUACACGAAACAUUAUCGUCUGGGUUUGAGCAGGGUUUUAUACAACUCAUGAAUAUAUCUCCUUUUGCUGCCAUAUGAUAAAAUACCAAUAUUGUUAAUAAUAUAUUUUUCAAUUGAAAGAACAUAACAUUAUGAAACUAUUAGAAGGAUUAUGAGAGAAAAACAUACUUGAUAAGACAAAACAUGUGAAUAUCAUCAAGAUAACGAUGAACACCGUAAAAUUUUUCUGAUUUGCCAUGUCCUUUAGAUGUUAUUAACGUGUUUAAAAAAGUUCGAGGAGAACUAAUUUAUAGUAUCUUAGCAACAAUAACUAAAAAACGGUACGGUGCUAAAUAUGUCGUUAAAAACUCAAAUUGAUUUUGUUAAUUUAGUUUAUAAAAACUAAAGUCUAUAUGGAAUUUUUAGAAAAAUAGAAAGAGAUUGGUAAUUGAGACUAUUUUUAGAAAAAAACUGAAAUGAUAAAUUACACAUGAAUUGAUCCUAAAAGUCAUCUGAAGAAAAAUAGGGUUAGCAAUGUGAGGGGGAAUGGUAAAAAAAAAGAAAAGAAAAAGAAAAAACCAAAUCGAUCAAUUACAACCCACUAAAGAUCCAUAGCAAGCCAUCAAACUAAACUACGAAUGUGAUUGAUAACUCCCUCAUAAGUGAGUUAUUAAGUCCCAAAAGGCUUGACUAUCAAGUAUAAAACAUGUGCAUGUCUUGUUAUAUUUGAUCACUUUAUGACUAAUUUUAUGCAAAAAACCAAGCUACUCAUGCAUGUCUUUUUGAGCCUUGAUUAGCAAAUUAGUAACGUAAAUUAUGUACAAAAAGAGUCCAAUCUUUAGUAAUUCUUGAGUUUAUAUAUCAUUUGAAAUUGUUGCUGUAAUUUUUAACAAAUAGAAAGUUCCAAGAUUUUUGAGAUACGUUCAUUCUUUUCAAAUUCAAUAAAAUCAUAUAAAAAAAUUUGCAUUUGAAUAAUUUGAAUAUAUUCAAGCUAAAUCGUGUAGGAAAAAGUUGCAAGGUGUUCUAGAGAAACAUUAUUUUCUUGAAAAUCUUUAAAAGACGUCGUUUCUGCUUUCCAAUGCAUCACUGAACAUCAAACUCAUGCUAUCUAGAAACUCUAGCUACCGUUUUACAUGUUACAUCAUUCACAGUUAAUAACCAUACCCUAAUAUAAUGGCCGUUGUUGUUUUUGAUUCUUUUCAUCCUUUUCAAUUUUCUUUUGGGUGCUUUCUUUACAAGAACAAGCAUAAGUACUAGCCAUUAUUCAUCUUGAAAGAGAGCUUAGGAAGAUCAAUAGGCAAGUUGAGAAUUUAUCUUGUACUUUUACAUCUCACAUAUUUCAUACAUUCGUUUUCAUCCAUUUAUAAUAUGACUUCUUCUCUUCUUUGCUUCUUGAGUUCCUUAUUUUUCAUUAUGAGCUAAACAUCAUUUUAGGAUUAAGGAUAUACUAAGAAUGUAAUAAAUCCUCCACACGUGUCCUAUUUAAUUACCUUGCUCAACAUUUAUUUUACCUUCGAUUUUAUUGAUUUUAUGCAUUUUUUGAAUUUUGAUUAUCACAUAAGUUGGCAUAUAAUGUUGAGUCUUGUAUCAAAAUAGUUAGAUAAUAAAAUGAAUUAAGAAAAAUAAUAUAGGACAAACAGCUAGAGCCCUAGAAAUAGGGUAUAAUGCCUAUAUGAUCAAUAUUGAAUUGGAGUUAACCAUAUCUUAAGUUGUAGUUAGUCAUAGAAAUAGGUGUUUCAUUGCAUAGUCCUCUAAAUGUUCUUCUUUAUGGGAGUUGGCUCCAUUUGAUUUGGUUAAGUGUCUACGUUGUGUGCACAAUCUCUGAUCGCAUAUAGUUUAACUCCGUUUGUUUUUUUGGGGUCGAUUCUGGCUGAGAUUGCCUGAGAAAAACAAAAAUGCAAGUUUUUUUUUUAAAGUGCGCCACUUUUAAAAUAUAAAACUUAAACUGUGUCGUUUUUGUCAUUUAUUUCUUUUUUUACAUAUUUUGUCAUUUAUUUUCUUUCCAUGAAACAAAUGGAGCAUAAAUAUAUACAAAAUUAAAUCACAAAUUCAUUUAUAAAUUUAUACGUGAUUUAUUGAGAAGCACACAUUUUGAUUUAAUUUAAGACAUGGGUUGAUUAUCUUUCUAGUUGAAUAAAAAAAGUUUCAAAUAAGUUUAAAAUGUCUUUUAACUUAAAUGUACCAUAAAUCUACGUAAUUUUACUUUUGGAUGAUUAAUGAGAGGUAGCAAUUUUAGAAACAAUAAUAAAGUAUAGAUUACUAAAAUUUCAAAAUAUAAUAGAACACUAAAAUUUCAAAAUAUAAUGUUGUAAAUAUAGCAUCUCAAUAUGGUCAUCUAGUGAUGGAUAUAUUAUAUUUUCUAAUAUAUUAUUUUGGUAGAUUUUGACAUAUUUAACUAUAUUUACGACGUUUUAAAAAUGUUGUUAUAUAUGCUAAUAUUUUGAAUCUAAUUGAUAAAAAUGUUAAUAUAUACUUAAUUAUUAUUCAUAAAAUUGGUAUCCAUUAUUAUUACAUAAAAAAAUGUCAAAAAUAACAAAUUUAACAAAACAUAGCAAAAAAUUUCAGACUUUAUCACAUUGAUAGCAAUUGAUAAGUUUCUAUCAGUAACAUUGUAGAAAUCUAUCGGUAAUAGAUUUCAAAAUUUUGUUAUAACUUGUAAAUAUUUUAAUUUAUUUUACUAUUUUUAAAAAUGUAUUAAAAAAAUAUUGUCUAAUAAUUACUUUUUUGUUUCGUGGAGUUUGAAACAUACCGACAUAUUUAUUUCAUCAAUAAUAAUAAUAGGAAAAAUAUCCCAUAUCAAUAUCUUAUUGAUAAAUUAUAUUAAUCAAGUUAGAGCUCUUUAAAACUAUAAAAAUUUAAUUAAAAUUAUGUUCAAAUGUAGAUUUUGUUACUUUGAUCCUUUUGUACUUAGGAUCAACAUUUUGAAAUGGAUUGUACUGAAGAUGGGAUGAUGAAACAAUCUAUAUCAUUAUUACAAAGAGGCAAAUGGCUAAAGUAGGGUCACUUUUGAAUGUUCAAUUUAGACACUGACUUGGUGUUGGGGAAGGAUGAAAACAUUAGCAGACAUGUGGAUAUACUUGAUGAUAUAUCUAUAAAUUAAAAUAUAAUGUUUGAUAGUGAUAUUAAAAUAUUCACGGAUAUCUCCCACAUCUUCUAUCAAUAAUAAUGCUUCUAAAAUAUAAAAAAUACCAUUCUAAUGGUCUAGAAAUGUGAAUAAGAAAUAUACUAAUAACAAUAUCCAUAACUUAGUAAAAACAACUUAAUUAUUAGUCUACUUAUAAAAUCCAUUAAUAUAAGAAAAAGAAAAUUGAAAUCUUGAUAAUAAUAAUAUCGACAUCAAUAUUUUAAUUCUUUGUAGGUCAAUACCAUAUUGGUUAGAAAAGAGACUUUAUGAUUAUGGUCGAGUAUAUUUUAAUUGGUAUGAGAACUUUUGGAUGGUUCUAAAAGUAAUAUCACAAAAAUGUUUAUAUCCAUAAACAAUAUCAUAUCAUUGUAGAGAUAGAUGAAAUGUUUUAUUGUCUACUGUGAUUUGUCCUCGAUCAUAAAGUUUUAUAAGUAAAUUGGAUAAGACUCGACUUUUCCUUUGUUUUUGUUUUGUGUUUCUAUUCAUUAUUGUGUUAUUUGUUUUCUAUCUACCAAAAAAGGGGACUCCUUUUAGUUUGAAAAAGUGCAAGGGUGAGAUUGAAAUGAUCCCUCGAAGUAUUUUAUAGUGAUAUUUUAUUUAUCGUAUUAUAGUCCAAUCAUAUCACAAAAUAUAUAUAUAUAUAUAUAUAUGAAAAUAUUCCAAUAAUAUCACUUAUAUCACCAAUAUGUUAACCCUAUGUCAUUAAUAUUCAUUAUUAAACUUUUGUUUCCUUAGACCAAUAGUUGUGAUGGUUUCUACGUACCUACUUUUUGUUAUGUAUAGAAGAUAUAUAUUAGCUCUAUGUAUGGAAGACGUGAGGGAUAAAAGGUAAAUCAUUAAUAAUCAGACAACACCCUAAGUUUAGGAUUCUUCUUCUUUAGAUUUAGUCACGAUUCAUCCAUGUUCCACUCUUAGUUAAACAUAGAGCUUUAUUGUUGAUGAAAAUUUUCUAAAAUGAGUUUUUCUAAAUAUGUACAACAUUUAAACAAAUCAGUUCUAUUUUAAUAAUUAAAAUCGUUGGGGCGUUGAGCUCUAAUUAGGCAUUGGUUGAUGCGUCACUUAAGUGAGGUCUUGUGAUAGGACAACAUUUGAUGCAUUCCUUAAGUGAGGCAUUGUGAUAGGACGACCAUUGAUGCAUCACUUAAGUGAGGCGUUGGGAUCAACUAAUGAUCGUUGAAAACCUUACACAUUGGAAAGACUUGAUGUGUUCUUAAUUGAACGUUGAGGUCAACUAUAAAUGAUUGAGGCCAACUAUAUAUAAAUUAUUGAGGCAUUAUACAAUAAACUCAUGAUUGUUUGAACUCAAUCUCUAAACAAAGAGCUUCUCUUUCUCACAAUUUCUCUCAAUCUUCUCCCUCUCUAUUCUUGGUUUUUGAUUAAAAAAAAAGUGUUUUGGCUAGUGUAGCUACAAUCGAAAUUUUGACGCUCUAAGCAGUGCCGCGAAACAUCUUAAAAUUGUUUAAUCUUGAGAACUUUUGCUUGUUUGUUCUUGAACCACAUUUUAUUGGAAGAAGUUUCACAUUAUUAUACCAUAUGUAACAUCUUAGACUCAUUAUUCGAAAUUCAAAUUUGACACAUAAAAUUGCCUUGACAUCGACUCAAUACCAUCUAAAUAAAAUAAUUCAAAAUUUUGCAACAUUUCCAUUGCUAUACAACCUCAAGUGGUGCAAUAUAAUUAAGAUGGAGACAAUGGUAGUGAGAGAGGGAAAGUCGAGGAGUUUGGCCAUUUUUGAAGGUUAAUUUGUUUGAUUACUAUAAGGUCUUCGGGCGGCCAAUACUUUGUAUAAUAAUGCCAUUCUUAUGUGUCCUUUUUCAACUUAUAUGAGACAAUUUUUUUCUUUUUUUUGAAUAAUUCAACCAAAUAUUGAAUUUGUAACACAGUUUCUAGGAUCUUGACGAUGAAAUUGAUAUCACAUGUUAAAUCUUUCAUCUCUUUUAUCUCUAUCUCUAUCUCUACUAUAUUCAAAGUGUAAGUUGGGAGAAUUUUUACAUUUCCAUAUUUACUGAUUCUCAUUUCGGGAUUAAAGAACACCAAUGGAAUCAAAAUUUGAGUGAAGAACAACUUUAAUUUUAUCUUCCAUCAUUCGCUUACUUGUGAUUUUCUCUACUAAACUCUUGCACAGGAUUUUUAAAAGAAGAAAGCAUAAUGCAAAAACUGCUACUGUGAAACAUUUCAUUUAUAAAAAGUUGGCAUCCUUUCCAUAAAGAAUUAAUAGUGGUACGAAUGAAAGGGGUGAAUAAGAAAACCAAUUACACAUAUUUAUGUGAAAAGGUGGGCGUUAUAACACAUCUUUGAAAGAGUGGAGAGUAAAAUAAGUAACUUUUUUUUAUAAAAAAAGUGAGGGUAAAAAAAUUCUCACAUUUAGUUAACUAAUACGAUAUGAACUAAUCGAGUUCACAUAUAAGUGCGAUUCUACAUCUUUUUUGUUUUACUACAAAGAUAGCAAAAUUAAUUGUAAUCACCUUCUUCUAAGAAAGAUUUUGUCUAUGAUUAUGUUGGUAUUAACAUCUAUGAUUAUGUACUACAUAUAUAUGAAAUAAAUUUUUAUACUUAUGCAAUUAAACAUCCAUUUGUUAAAACAAAAACAUUAAAACCUUGAAUUAUUAGGAGUUAUUAUGUUAGCUGACCAUUUAAUUAUUUAAAUAUAAAAACAAUCUAUUUAUUUUAAUAAACCACAUUUUAAGUGGACUAAAAUAUGAUACUAAAACAAACAUUUUAAAAAAUUAUUAUUUUAGAUAUUUAAAUUCUACACAUACACACAACACACAUUAACUAAUUAAUUUUCAAAACUAAAGCUAUUAUUUUAGAUAUUUACAAAUAUAAUAUCUAAAAUCAACUCAAAAACAUCCAAAUUUAGAAGAUAUUUAAAACUCAAAUUCCAGAAAAGCUCUAACCCUUUUUCUUUUUCUUUUUCUUUUUCUUUUGGGAGAAUAUAAACAUAAAUAAUAUCAAGCAAAAAAGUCCAAAUCCUAUAUCAAUAUCAAAUCAAAAGAAAAUUUUGUUAAAGAAAGAAAGAAAGAAAGAAAGGCUGAAUUAUUCAUUUAAUCAGGAUCUCAUAAUUGAAAUAUUUGAUUUAAAGUAUUUUAAUGUGAUGAGGAUCCCACCACACAACCACAUCACCAUCCUUAUCAUCUUCUCUAUCUUUUCUUCAAAUUUCCAAACAAUAAUGCAAAAUUGAAGUCCCCACACGCAACCUCCCUUUCCCAUCACACAUCUCCUCUUUCUUUCUUUCUUUUCCCCUUUCUCUUCCCAUACAAACAUUAUUCUGUGUGCUCUGAAUUAUCUAGUCUUUUCUCUCUAUUGAAUCUGAAAUUAUUAACUAAUCACGGUUAAAGUUAUUUCUUAAUCAAAAUCAUCACUAAUUUAAAGUUACAAACACAUGAGUUGAUAGAUUUCGAAUCUCACAUGUUUUCACUCUAACCAUUUAAUCAAAUAAAAUAUUUUGGUAGUUGAGUUUAAAGAUAUAUUUAAUUUGGUCCAAAGACAAACUAAACCCUACCAAAUUUAAGACUCCCGAGCUUUAGAAGUCUUCCAAUAAUUAGAAUACUCUAUAACUUAUGAAGUUGAAAACUUCUUAAAGAUACCAAGUUUUUUGAAGAUAUAAAUACUAUUCCAAAGCUUGAUUGUGAAAAACUUUUUUACGUUAUUCAUUUUUUCAAAUCAAGUAUGUACUUUAAUCAAAAGAUAAAAUACUAAAAAUUAAAUAUUAAAUAAGUUCAACUCCAAAAAAAACAUCUUUUCUUUCACAAACAUCAUUCAAAUUAUAAUUAAUAUUUUUUUCAAAUCAUAAUUAAUAUUUUUUUCUAAUUAAUAAUUAUUAAAAAUUAUUGUGAGUUUGAAAAUAGUUUAACUAGUUAAUUAGUUUAGUUACAUAUAUGUUUGAUUGUGGUUAAAUUUGGAAUUUAGACUCAUUGAUAAGUAUUAAGCUAAGAAGUAUGUUUUCUAGUCUUGUGUUUUGGGUUGUUCACCAUCACAUAUAUUAUAUACACAUAUAUUUUUUUUUUUAAAAAAAAAAGAAACUUUUUGCCUUUUGAAAAAGUAACCAUAUAAUUUUUUUAAUGGUAGACAACAAAGUUGGAAAGUACAUUUAUAUAUAUAUACAUAAUGGUUUUUUAGGAAUAAUAAUAUGUUUUAGUUAAAAAGAAAAAAAGAAAAAAAAAAUCUAUGUCCAUUGUGUAGAAUAUUCGUAAACCAAAUUCCAUGUGCCAACUCACCCUCAAAUUCCAUCCACCUUCCCUAUAUAAAUCUUCUCCGCACCCUUUCUCAAAAUUCCAUUUUACACAAAGAAAAAAGAAUAACAAAGUAAAAAUGUCGGCAAUGGUAGAGUCAUGGAUGAACGAACUGGGAAAAUGGAGAAACAGAGUUGAAGCUCAAGACAACAACAACAAGAAGCCAUUGAUGCCCAAAUCCAAGCAACUCCAAACAGAUCACUUCAAACAACCCGCCAAAACCCAUAUGGCGGAUUCCGACGACACAGAAACCUCCGUCCUCUCUGAAUCCACCAUUUGUUUGCUCAUAGAUCGCUUUGCUCCUUUAUGAUUAUGCUUUCUUUCAAUAAUUCCUCUUCCUCUCUUUUAAGUUUUACUCUGUAUAUUGCUGAAUAUAUAUCUAAUAUAAUUGUAAAGGAAAUAGUAAUCUAGUUUUGUCCACUGCCACCUUGUACGCCUGCCGGCCCAUACUGCUUGUGAUGCUCUGUUUCUACAAUUCCUCUUUCCUAUGUUUUCCUUUGUAAUUCUAUGUUGAAUAUAUCUUAGGGUAUGAUCUGUAUUUUUCUCACCGCCGUUGCCAGAUUGGAGAGAUGAGGAGUCCGGUGGGUGGUAGCGGCGGUGGUGGUGGUGGCCGGUUUGGAGACUUUAUGGCUUUCUCCUUUUCAAUUAUGCCUUGCAGAAUUUCUGUAUAUAUUUCUUUAAUCAUUUUUUUCUAAUUAAUAAGAUUUUGCUCUUCCUUUUUGUUGUUUGAAGUAUUAAUAUAAUAAAAUUUACCAUAAUUGAAGUUAUCAAAUUUAAUUUUUAAAUUAUGGCAUAUUAGUGUAAAUCCAUUUUUAUAGUUGUAAUUAAUGAGUGUAAUUUGAAUGUAGAAUAAGAAAAAGAAGAGCAAGAUCCAUUUUGUCAAGUUAUUAAUUCUUUUCUUUAUCUUAUCUUUUCGUGAUUUCUCCGUCUCGACUUCUAGAAUUUCUUUCUUUUUUCAUUUCUUAAAAUUCUCAUCGAAUCGAUUCAAUAAUGUUUGACAUUUCUCAUAUAUUUUCUCUUUCAGAUUUAAAUGAUCGUAUACCAACUUUUAAAUGAUAUUGGUUCAAGAUCGUAUACAAAAUAUAAAAGAUCUUGGCACAUAAUUGUAAAUCAAUAUCGUUUAGAUUUUAUACACGAUCGUUUAGCUCUUGGUACUUGAUUGUAUAUCAAUAUCUAAACGAUCUCGUUUCACGAUCGUUUAGAAGAAGAAUUUCACACGUGGGUAUUACUUAUUAAUCGCAUGUUGGUUGGAUAAUUUGGUAUUUUCCUUUGCAGAUUUUUUCCGUUUUUCAAAAGUAUUUUAUACCGUGUAAGUAUAUUGCUCGCUUAUUAUAUUUUUGAAAACCUUCCAGAUUAAUUUACUGUUAUCAAACACAAACACGGUCUAAAAAAGUUAAAUUUUUUAAGUUUGUGUUUAUAACUUAUUUGUAUUUUGUAUUUAGCAUUUCUACAUCUAAAUUUAGGAAGAUAUUAAUGACAUCUCUCCAGUCUAAUUUAGUUUUUCUAUCUCAUAAUUAAUUUAAACUCAUUUCAUACAUCACUAAAACCGCAUGCAUAACCAAAUACUAUUUCUAAUUCUACUAUUUGCAUGACGACAUGCCUCGUCAACCUACGUUUAAUCAAUUCAAAAAAAUUUAAAACUAGUAUCAAUUACCAAUUUUUUUCUAUUUUUAUUUAAAAAAUUUGUUCUCUAGUAGAUAUAUUAGUUUUCAAAAACUACUUAACAAAAUAAUUUUGGAUUUUAAUAGCAUGUUUAACACCCUCGUUUUUUAGCCAUUGUUUCAAAAACACUAUAAAUACGUUCUCAUCAAACAUUUUUAGACUCACCUUUCUCAACCGCGUUAAUCGCUUAGAAGCAAAACUAGUGACAUCUAACAAGCAUGGAAAAUCAAAAACCUUUUACAGUCUCCAUUGUUGUGAUGGUGAUAUUCGCAUGUUUUGUUUUAUCAAGUAUGCUCUUAUUAUCUCAUAACCCCUUCUUAUCUCAUAAUGGUAUGUUCUUUUGCGUGAAAAAAAAAAAUAUUAACAAUUAAUAUUGAUGUUUUAUCACAUGUGGCAGCAAAAGGAGACAUGUUGUUGAAUUGUAUCGGGCCUUGUUCAAACCCAGAUGAUAAUGUUUCGUGUAACAACGAUUGUCUCAAACAAACUUAAAAACAGUGGAUUUUGCUAUCCCAAGUUAGAUGGUUCUUCAAACGAAAAAGAUUGUUGUUGCUAUAUCUGAUGAUGAAACCCAAAAAAAAAAAAAAGUUGUAUAACCUUGAUUUGAAAUGGUUAAACAAAGUCAUAUUGAUAGAAAUUCAUGUUUAUUUAUUCAUCUUUCGUACUCUUUUGUCCUUAUAAACAUUAAUUAUUUUACCUCUUUGAGAUAGUUGCAAAUGUUGCAAUUAAAAUUAAAUAUUAGCAUACAUAACAACAUUUUAAAAAAAUUUGCGAAUGUAACAAAAUUUGUCAAAGUCUAAAAGCGAUAGAAUAAAUUUAUCACCGAUAGAUUUUGCUAUAUUUGCAAGUUUUUUAAAAAUGUCUCUAAAUGCUUAAUUGUUAUUGCUAAAAUUACUACCUAUUAUAAUUACCCAAUAAAUUUUUAUUCAUUAUUGUUUAAAGAAAGAUGUUAUGCAUUUGUUUGAGAAUGUGCAAUAAUGUUGUUAUGAAUAAUACUAACGGUCGUGCAACGAUAUUUGUAAUAAGAUGUAGAACAUCGUUUUUGAAAUAAUAAUUGAGCGAUCUUUUAUGCUAAUAUAAUAAAAUGAUGUCAAUAAAAUAUUGCAUUAUUACUAAAGACAUGUGAGCAAAGUAGCACAAUUUUUAAAAACAAAACCCAUUCAAAAUCAAAUGGCUAUCCAACAAUGCAUUAAUACCCUAAAUUUAAAAUUUUCGAACAUUACUAAAGUGAAUAUAAGUUAAUUCUUUAGCUCUACACUAUACUCUAUAAGAAGAUCAAGAAUUUACAAGCACUUGAAUUGUGCUACACUAUUUUAUUCUAUAGGAAAUAACCAAUGAAAUAUAAAAUGCAUUUUUCAAAUAUUUGAUUAGCUAUGUGAAGCUGCUUGCAUCAACACUAGUACAUGAAAUUUCAGUAAUGCUGAUGUUAGGUUUGUCAACUUGCCAUUUGAUUAUUUCCCUUGCAUAUCUCAAAGCAGCAUUCACAUUUUCGGGCUCCAUCCCUGUUGUUUGUGAAACAAACAACUUUUUAUCUGUCAAAGAACAAAACAGUCUCUUGAAUUUCACUGCUAUGUACUGAAACGCUCGUUGUGCCAAUGUCGGGUUCGUGCUGCUGCUACUUCUUCCAGUGAUCAUUGGAUUGAAGUCAACAAACCACUCACAUUGAGCAAGAGGAGCGUGGAUGAUCUUUUCUUCGAAGAGAUCAAACUUGUUCAGUAUGAGAAGGAAGUUCUUUCCUCUUGAGGCUUGAUGUGUCACAAUGCUUUCAAACAGUUGCUUGCUUGCGAUCAUUCGGUUCGUUAGAACUCCGUUAUCAUCCUCGUCAAAUUCAUCGUAGUCUGUUAAAUCCACACAAAAUAAAAUUAUUUUUGUGUCGUCAAACAUCUCCAACAAUUUGCAGUUUUCUCCUAGGGUACUGGAAUGGACUCGAAUCAGCUGGUACCUAAAAGAGGAAGGAAUCGGGUUUUUUUAGCUGAUGAUAACUUUAUGCGACUGUAUGCAAAAAUCUAUGCAAAAAGCAACCUUAUUGACAGAUCGUGCUGAUAAGGAGGGUCGAGAAGGGAGUCUUGUCGUGACUCAGGGAACGUGAACUCCAUGCUACUGAGGCUGUUGCACGAGGUGAUUCCCUCAGCGUACAAGAUAUCAUUGUCAGAAGGGUCAUACUCUAUGCUUGAAAUGUCAAUUGCCUGCGUUGAUAAAGAAAUUUACUUUGGUAAAGAUGAUGAUCCUGAAUCAUGAUCAAUAGUCCACUAUUCAAAAGCAAGACACCAAUCAGGGGAAAACUAAUGAAAUUUGACAAACAACUUGAAUUACAUCAAGGUGAACCCACCCAUUACAGGAAAAAGAAAACUUAAAUCAUUGGAAAAAAAAUGUCACCUUUUAAUGUUACUGCAUAAUGGUUUUGAAUUCUAAGCUAAAAGUCGAGCAUGCUAUUUCAACGUUCUUCAAUAACUAGGAAGAAACCUCCAUGUCUACAAGCAUCCGUAUAGCGAAAGGUCAGAGGCAUUGGUGUUUUUAUGUCGGUAACCAAAUGAUCAAAAGGGUUAACAUAUUUUAUGGUUAAAAAAAACGUUCCAAUAGAGUCUAUAGUUCAAAUGAUUUUUACAAGCCCUAAAACUUUCAGUGUCCAAUUUAUGAUCUGGAAAAAUGCUCCUUUUGUCACCAAAUUUUGAAUCUAGUUUUUAUAUGGUUCCUCAAUUUCAAAUGUUACACCUCACCUAUGAGUUCAGAAUUCAAUUUCUAUGUGUCCCUACAUAAAUCCUAGUUUCCAUAUGAUCCCUAGGUUCCUAGAUUUCAAAAUGUUGCACUUCUGCCCUUGAGUUCUAAAUUUAGUCUCAUUCGGUCUCAGGUCAAUAUUUCAUACUUUUACCCUCCAAUUUUCGUUAAUGCUCAAAUUUGAUCUUCAGUCUUGAAUUUUAACAUUCCGUUAAUUAACUUAAAAUAAUUAUGAUGUAAAUUUUUUUAAUUAAUUUUGAUACUAUGAAAACUUAGUGAAAUUUAAUUUGAAUUAAUUUUUUGGUUUAGAGAAUACAAUCAACAUGUCACUAAGAUAGAGACCAAUUAGAUACAAAAUCAAAAGCCCAUACACCUAGUGAAUACUUCUCAACACUAUGAAUUAUACUGGUUUAUAAUGGUAUUAGAAACUUUUUAGAGUAAAAAUGUCUAAUGGACCCAUCUCAGAAACAACUAAGUUUAAUGACUAAACAUCCUACCUUUAACAAAGAAAGGUAUAAGAAAAAUUGCAAGAGAUUAUUUCUAAGGUGGAAUUCAACAGUAAUGACCCAGAACGUAAACUCACCCGAUCAAGGAAAUAAGUAGCAACUCGUGGGAGCAUUUCUAGUUCGUUCCUUCUACUGUACGUGGCUUGGAAGGCUUCAUCCUUCAACAACUCUUCCACUAAUUGACCAUACACACGUGUAGCAGCCGGGAAUAUGGUGUCAAAGUUCCCUGACACCACGACUUGAAGAAGCAAAUCUGCAAAUCCUUUCAGUUUAGGGCCAAGGGAAUAGAUGUCCUUACGCUCCAACUGAUUUUCAUUCCCUGUAACCACUGAAUAAUGUCAUUUGCUUUGCUCAUUGAACAUCAGAAUAAUAUAGUCAGGAUGAUAUGGUAAUUUAUCUACUGAAAUCUGUCGAAAUAUUUAAUACAAAUGAUCGACUAUCAGGGAAAAGUGAAAAUCAUCUGAAAAUGGAAUUACAACAGACCUGAUGCUGAUGAGCUGGACGGAUCAUUCACUGGUUGUUUAUUUUUCUCAUCCAUCAAAAUCUCUUCUUCGAAACGCUCUCGUCCUUCCAGUAGUAUAGUAAGAUACCAAUACAAGUUCCUUUGAAUCAGUAACUUAAUUGUUUGACGCUCGUCAUCAGAGAAAGGAACUUUAUAUAUUUGUUUGGCCUAAAAUGAAGAAAUGACUACUGGUCAGGAAGUAUAUAGGAUAAGCAUUUCUAUAUCAACAUUAUUCGUUGUACACUAAGGAUGGGAGGUGAAGAAUUGGGUAAAAAUAAGUUCAAAUAAACAUGAGAGACAUAAAGAAGUGGUAUGUAAUGAAUCCCAAGUACAACCAAGAAGGGACCUAACACUCUUAGCACAAUAAUGGUUAAGGGCUUGUCUUUUAUGAAGCAGGCGGCAGGCCCCACUGCAAUGUGCGUUGAGGCUUGAAAUAAAAACCUUUUGGUUUCAAUAUUUGAUUAGGUUGACAAGAGUGUGAAUAUGUGAAGAGGACAGCAGAAAGAAAUCAUAUAUUGGUGACAUAUAUGAACUUUACUAUGAAUUAAAAGCCUUUUCUGCAAGCCAUCUGCUUUCUUGACACAAGACUUUCAGGCAAAUCAAUGAACUUUAUUAUGAAUCGAAAUAUUUAUCAAAACAAUGAUCAAACAAGAACUAAAAUUAAGAUUAACAUCAUAAAUAGUAAGAAUUUUAACACGAUCAUAGGUAGAAGUUUUAAGAAGCAUAAAAUGUAGUACUAUAACUGAAAUUACCUGCUUGAAUAUGGUACUCGUGCCAGAUUUUUUGUGGCCAACAAGGAGAAGUUUAUGAAGUACUUUCUGCUCGUAAGAAACAGAUUUAGCUCCGUCCUCUAUUUCCUCUCCAGUACGAACAGAAUUAGAAGGAAUAGGCAAAGAAUAAAGGGCACAUGCAAGCCUCGUUCUAGUCUGCAGAGAUAGGUGAAUUAGUUGUUCUUGCAAAUUUGAUGUAUAUAAGAUAGAGCAGGAAAAACCAAACUGAACAUCAUCGCAUAAGGUUUACCUUGUCCCAUAUUUUUCCCCCAUUGUUCAUUCCUUCUUCCUGGUAUGAUCCAUCUGCACUAACCCAAAAAGAAGGUCUUCCUUCACAAGGCACUCCAGCCAGCUGCAAGCAACAUGAUCUCAUUUGUGUUAUUUGCGCAUACUUUUAUAUUUCAAUAAAGCUAAACUAAAUACGAACACUGGGUAAAAGAAAACCUUCAGUAUCCGGAGCUCGUUUUUAGUGAUCUCUCGAUUAUUGAUGCACACAUUCGUAUUGCCAUUGCUAGCAUUCCUCUUGAUCCGACCUCCAACUUCUAGCUGGGAGCUAACUAUCUGACUCGGUCCAUGUCCUUCCUGUUCAGUUAAAAACAGAUCAAAAAGUUUCUCAUGGUGCAAAUCGCUUCUUCUACAUGCUCAAAAGAUAAAAUAAUAUCAAUCAAUCAAAGAGAGAGGACCUUUCCCCAGAAGCCUGAUUCUUUGUCAUACCAAUAUUGUCCUGGUUUUAGAUUCUUUGGUGGCUUUCGACAACUUCGCAACGUAAGCAGUUCCUGUCGACUUAAAGGAUCGCCAUUGACGUAGAUAAGUCUUGCUGGUAGUUGGUUUAUUUCACACUCUUUCUCAUGCAACAUUGCGCUCUUAAUUUCAUAGUCAGAAAGCAACCUCUUGAGCACUUUAGAGCUUUUACCCAAGUUCUCCCUUCUUGAUUCAUCAAUCCUAUACCCAAUGCAAGAGAUACACUUCCUUCCUUCUGGCAUUGCUCCCAUUGCUCUGAUUAUACAAUCAAAGCAAUAUUUGGCUCCACAAACAAUGCAUACUUCCUUUUCAGUGAAACGGUUUCCUUUAAGGCAGAAGUAGCAUGAUCCUUUUUUUCCCUUCCUUUCAGCUCGAGGCAUCUCUUGAAUGCUUUCACCCUCAAAUUGACUUGACUCAGCCUCUUCAGAAAUCGUGUUGCUCGUAUGGGGAUCAAGAAAGGUAACAGCUGAUGGCCUUCUGCCAUGCCUACGCGUAGUUUCAUAGUCAACUUCCUCUUCCUCUCUUACAGCAAAAAUUCCAGAAGACGAACUCAAACCCGAUUCUACUGAUUCCGAGUCGCUGGAAUUCGUAUAGCCUUGAAAAUCCUCUUCAUUCUUAAUUUCCAAUGAUUCUACCCCUCCUAUUCUUCCUUUCAGCUCAUUGAAAUUCUCAAGUUCACCAGAACUUUCAACUCCAUCACACGAAUCGAUAUUACAUUUAUCUUCCUUAUUGGCAUGGAGGCAAACAACCCCAUCUUCCUGGAUUUCUGAAGUUGAAGAAAUUACAGAAUUAGGGCUGGAACUUGAACCCUUCUUUAGUUUCUUAACAAUGGGUUGUAUCACAGGCAGAGAUGAUAAAUCAUCACUGAAUUGAGAUGAUGAAAGAACCACAGAAGCCGUUGGAAUAUAAUCAACAUUUAUAGGAACUGCACGAGGAAUCUCGUAACUAAUUCCAGGACCUUUAUACUCCAUGGCAAAAGAAUAUUCACCAGUAAAAUCCACAUGAUUAACAGGAGAAGAAGGCUUCUCGUGAAAAAGUUUUUUAAGAAUCCCAGCCAUAACUCAACAAUUCAACAACACAAAUUUUAACACAACAAAUCUAACGAUUUAAACAAUUACAACCCAACCCCAUCAAGCAUAACCAAUCAAACAAGCCCACAAAACAGAGAAACAAAAGAUCGAUCAAUCAUCAAAUCCAAAUGAUCGAAGAGAAAAAAGCUCCCAGUGGAGGAAAAUAUCGAAAGAAGAAGUUACAAUUGUGAAUUAGUAGGAACCCAUGUUCAAGAAAGUCGAAUCAGAAGACUUUUUGACAGUGGGGUUCAAGGAAAACGAGUGUGCUGUUAAAGAUAAUAAUAAAAAAAAAAAAUGGUGGGAAUGGAAAUGCUAUACUCAGUCAACACAAAGACUAGAGAGAAGACUUUGGAUUAGUAGAAAAAUGGGUUCAAUGGUGGAAAAGAACGCGUUCAAGUAAGAAGAAAACUGACAAGAAAGGGACAUAAAAGAGGAAAUUUAAGAGAGAAAGUGGAAAAGAAGGUAGGUGUUGGUCAUUAUUAUAAUCAAUUACAUUACAAUACGUCAAAUUAGAAAAGCAGAGAAAUUACCAGUCCCUUCCUUCCUUCCUUCCUUCCUUCCUUCCUUACUUCAUUCCACGUUUUUGCUUCCGAUUUGUCUAAGAUGAACUCAAAAUUGAAAGGCAAUUAAGAACAGUCUGCCACUGAGAGAAGGAAAUAUUGCUUUGAAUUUAUUUGUCGUGCCUAACACGAGAGCGGAUGUGUGAGAAAUUUUACCGUAUUCUCCAUAGCUUUAACAAGAAAUCUGUUGUACUGUUGUAACUUUGAGAGAAUUUCUUACAUUUCUUGUUCUUGGUUCUGCAAAGGGUUCCAUGAUUAUUGAAUUCAGUACAUUAUAAUUAAUAUGCAAAGUUUUUAAGACUGAAACAUUACUUUUUUUCUUUUAUAUUUUUAUUAUUUUAUUACAACUCAAUAAAUUUAUAUAUAUAGCAAAACUUCUACCUUUUAUUUUCAUUUUCAUUUCAACUCUUUUUAUUUAUUUUUAACUAUGCUAAAAUCCAAAUAUGGAAACCAUAAAAUAUAAUAUAUAAAUAAAUUAGAUAUGUAAGAAAAUUCAAAUUUCUCUACCUCCUCUCAAUUUCAUUGAUUUAUAUAUGUGUCUCACGAAUCUACUAAAUGUCACUAUUUAUACACAAUUUGGUAGGCAUGAACUAGAUUACAUGACAAUGUGAGUAUCAUCUAGACUUUUGUUAAUGGUGUUGAAUGAUUAAGAAAUUGACAUGUGGUGGACAUCUAUUUAUUUAGUAUUUAUAAUAUUUUUUUUUUCAUUUGUACGACCUUAUAGAAUUAAAUACUUUUUCUUAUUUUAUAUGUUGGAUAUUGAAACUACAUUUCAAACUUAAAUUAAUAAUAAUAAAAAGUUUGAUUAAUUUUCUAAAUUUAUGUUAAAUAUUAAAUAUAUUUUGUUUGAUUUACAAAAUUGAAAAUUUAACAACUUUAGAGAUGCAAAAGGUAUUUGAAUCACUCAAAUAUAAAUUUAAAAUUUAUGACCUUACAUCUUCUUGAGAAGACUUCUAGUUCAUGUUUAUGUUUCAUAAUUAAAAUUAUAAAUUUAAAUUUGAUUCAUUCAAAUCUCUUUUAAAUUUCUAAAUUUGUUAAUUCCUGAAUUUUGUAAAAAACAAUGAUUUACAUAAACUUAGAAAAUUAAAUAAGCAUUUUAUUGUUAAUUGAGAUGUCUAAGGUAGUUCACUGUUAUACAAAUGAUGUACAAAAAAUUAUUUUACUCUUUUAAGAAUGAACUUAUAAAAAAGAAAUGAAAAUAAAAGAAAAACAUUUAUGUAUAUAUAAUUUUAUUAAAUCACAAUAAAAUAAUAAAAAAAAUGGUAGAACACUUAACAAAAUAUUAACCCUUCAUAAAAAAUUGUGUAAUAAUUUAUCAAAUAAAAUUUAUCUUUUUAAUGAUUUUGUGGAUGAAGUGUAAAUAGUUUGAUAAUGGUUUUGUUUUUGAAAAAGAUUCACUAACAAAAGUAUAAAACAAAAUUUAAUGGUUUUUAAUAAAUAAAUAAAAAAUCACUAUUUUUUUUUGCAAAUAGUUUCAUACAUUCGUUUUUUUUUUUUUUUUUGCAAAUGUUUUACAAAACGGCCCUAUUUUAAUACUAAACUCCAAUUCUUAAAAGAAUGCAAACAAAUUUUUUUUAGUUAUUUUAAAAUUUGUUUGAAUAAGAAACACAGGUAUAAACUAAUAAAAAAUUUAGUUACAUGUCCAUUUAACUACUAUUUCUUAAUAUAAUAAAAUAAAGAUAUAUUUUAAAAAUAGCAAAAUAAAUUAAAAUAUUUAUAAGCUAUAGCAAAAUUUUGAAUUCUAUCACUAUAGUCUUCAAUCACUGUAGAAAAUUAAUGACUAUCAGUGAUAGAAUUUGUUAUAGGUUGUAAAUAUUUUGUAAAAUCUUAUACUUUUAGAAAUUCCUCUAAAAUAAACCGAAAUAUUUAUAAAAUAUAACAAACUUUUAAAUUUUAUUAAGAAUAAAUACUUAUAACUUUUAUGGGUGUAUAACAGUUCACUAAUAGAAAUUGAUAGAAAUCUGUAUGUGCUAAUAAUAAAUAGAAUCUAAAAUUUUAUUAUAUUUUGUAAAUAUUUUCAGUAAUUUUAUCCUUUACAAUAAUUUUUUUCUAUUCAAUUUUUAAAUUGUAUAAAUAGCAAUUUUAGUCCAUAAAUUUCUCGACUUUAAUAGUAAAAUGAGAGGCAAAAUAUUCUCCCCUCUUACCUAUUUUAUAUAAAGUACAGAUUUAUAAUUAUCGAUGAACUGAUGAGCAAGAUAAUUUAAAGUAUAAAGUAAAUGCAAAAUAAAUAAACAAAUAUUUAUUUUUACAUCGCGAGCUUUAAAACUUGUUAGAGAAAUAUGGUAGUUUAGAGAAGUCAUAUGAACUUCUUCCGAAUUAAAAUUGAGGCAACGAGAUAAAGUUUAUGUCUCUACAAGAAACAUCUUUACAAACAUUCUAAUAGAUGUGUUGUCUGGGUGCAAUGGUUCUUAUCAUCGUUUAGUGUUUGAUUAAAAUUUUCCUUUUUUUCUUUUUAUAAAUAAGGUGAAAUAAAAAUGAUUCUAAGAAAUAGAGUAGAUAACUGUGGACAUAGCACGUUCUUGAGUUAAUAAAGAAAUUGUUUAUGUAAUACAUGAUUAGGGCCCAAAUUGUGUUUUGCACAUACUAGUACCAAAUGAAUGUCAGUUGCAUGUACGCUCCAUACCAUGUGUACUACAUGUAAGUGAUUAGAGCUUAAAUUGUGUAAGAUUAACAUGACAUGGGUCUAACCUAGACACGUGACAUGGGUCUAACCUAGACACGCAUACUGGCAAUUGUGUCAUAGAACUUGUGUACCAUAUACAUGAGUUCCAUAUGUGGCUUGUGUGCAUGGUAAUACUAUUUUGACAUAUGACUCAUGUAUCAUAUACACAAGUUCAUAGUUCUAAUCACCUCAAAAUAUAACUUAUAAAUAUUUUAAAAAAUACUGAAAUUUGUAUCACUUUCACGUGAGAAAUUGUAAAUUUGACUCACGGAUGACAAUAGAUUGAACAAAUUCACCCAAAUUGAAUUUGAUUUCUCGUGAUCACAAAUAAGUGAAGAAUUACUUGUUUUGAAUAUCCUAUUUUUUCCUGAUUUGAUUUUCUUCCAAAUAAAUAUUUGACUUAAGAUUUAGGGGUAAGUAUGAUAAUAGUCUUCUCUAUCACACCUAAUUUCUUUGUAUGUUUUACAAAGGGAAAAAAGGGUGAGUAUUGCAUGUUCUCAAAUUUGAUUCACAAACAUCAUAAAAGCAUGGUGAAUAUGAGAUUGGUAAUUAAAGGCAUUAAUUACCAUUUUUAGAGGAUGAUGAUAUUUUAUCUCUACAUUUACCAUUCUUCAGCUCAAAAGAAAUUUUAAACGCAUAGUACCAAUUUUAAAUUCACCAUUUAUAAUCAUAAAAGUCAAAUUAACCCAUUUUGGAUGGGAAAAAUAAAGUCUAAGAAAGUUUGAGUAAAAUUCCUCAAAACAAAAAAAACAAAAAAAAAGUUUAGUAAAAUAUGUUAAAGAAAAUAAUAAAAUAAGCAGUAAAAAAUAUAACACUAGUAACUAAAAAAUAGUUUAAAAAAAUAUGGAAAGAUAGAGUUCGGUACUAAAGUUAAGUGUAUAACGACAUAUAUUAUAAACGAUUAAGUAGGAAUUGACAAAAUUUUGUUACACUUGUAAAUUCUACAAAUACUUUAGAUUUGAUUGUUAUAUUUGUAUUGUUUACAAACUAGAGAAAUUGAAAUACAAAUAUUUUUUUAUUUAAUCUCUAUAACCCAUAUUUGGAAUGAUUUUAAAAUCUUCAAAAUCAUUUUUGGUUAUUCUUAAAAUCUAUUUAAAAUAUGUUUUUAAUUAUUUAAAAUUAAUUUAUUAUCAAAUUUCACAUUUUUAAAUAUAUUUUUUACAUACUAAAAUUAGUUUAGAAGAAUUAAAAAUAUAGUCCUAAAUAAUUUUAACUAUUUUAGGAUGAAUCUCAAAUGUGUUAAAAAGAAAAUAUUUUUUUCCAAAUACUAAUUAAUUUGGUUCGAAAAUUUUUAAAAAUAGUCAAGUAAAUUAAAAUAUUUAUAAGUUAUAGCAAAAAUUUUAAUUUUAUCAAUAAUAAAAAUUGAUAGACUUCUAUCACUGUUUGUCAAUGCCACCCAACGAUGGAAGCAUAUCAGUGUCUAUCAUCAAUGUUUACUAUCGAUAGAAUCUAAAAUUUUGCUAUAUGUUAUUAAUAUUUUGUCAAACCUGUUAUUUUUGACAAUUUUCCUUUAUUUUAAAAAACGAAGAAUAACGCAUCCACUAAUGACAACUUAUAACAAGGGGUGCUUGCAAAAAUAGCAAAAAAAAAAAAUUAUGAUAGUAGAGUUCAUGUCACUACAUUUUCUAAAUUGUAAAAGUAGCAAAUUUAAUAAAGUCAAUAACUCUUUGAUAACACUCCUAUAGUCUUUCGCAAUAAUAGUUUGAUAUCAUUAAUUACUUGUCAUAUUCACAAUAUGCAAAAAGAUGUGUCAUUAGCUAUUUUCUCUAAAUAUUUUUUUUUUUUGUCAAUUUUCCUUAUAUAUAUUCACAUUACCUUCAAUGUCAUGAGCGCUCUUAGGUCGGUAGAGGUAUAGUUUUGAAAAUGGUCAUUCCUUUGUUAAUUCUCAAACCAUUAAUUAUAUAUACUUUUAGGAAUUGAAAGAAUUAUUUCAUUUUAAAAACCCAAGCAACCAUCGUCCUUAAUCAAAAGAAUUAACAAUCUUAGAACCUUUUGUUUUGUUUUUUCUUGAGUGAAGUGUGACGUAAUUUUAAUUGGACUAGUUAAUGAGGAUCUUUUUACUAAACAAGAAAAAAAAUGGUACACUUCAAAUUGUCAAAAUCUUUGUCUAAAAUGGAAGAAAAUAAACCCAAAAAAAAGUUAGAAUUCCUCAAGAUUUGCAUAACUACUUGGUCAAAUUAGGUUAGGGGAGAACAAGUAUUUGACAAUUAAAGAAAUUUAAAAUAUAAGAGCAAUAGUUUGUGAAUCAAUUUUCCCAUUUUUCUCUAACUAAUGAGUGAAUUACAAAUAAAGUCAUUGUCAUGUUGAGAUAUGAAUAACUUCCCUUGUAAGUUAAAAGUUUAAAAAUGAUGUCCCUUAAAUAAUUCAUUUCUCAAAAAAAUUAAUUAUUUCAAAUAAUCACCUCAAAAUCAAUAAUAUCAUAUAUAUAUAUAUAUAUAUAUAUAUAUAUAUAUAUAUAUAUAUAUAUAUAUAUAUAUAUAUAUAUAUAUAUAUUAAUAAAAAAAUCAAACACCCUAACGUAUGGAUAUAAUAAGGCGUUAAUUGAUAUGAUCUCUUUUGAGUAUAACUUCAUGGCUUUAUUUUUUGUUUCACUCAAAUGGCAUCAUACCGUUAAAGAUAGUUGUCUACUUACUUAUAUCUCAUUCUUGUUGGGAAAACAGACAUCAUAAGAUCUCAAUAAUUAUAGGAUAUUGUCCACUUUAGCCUCGUGAUUUUAUUAUUUUUCUUUUUGUGUCAACUAAAAGCCAAAUACAGUUAAAGAUAGUUGUUUCCUCAUUUAUAUAUCAUUCUUUAAUGAUCAUCCAAAUAUCUUUACAGGUUUAAUAUAAUAAGGCCAAUAUAGGAUUUUGGGUCAUAGUCCUACAAUUCUCUCCUUGAAUAAAAGGACCAUCAAAAGUCUUCCCUCAAAUAAUCAUCCAUAUGUGUUUACUUCCAAGUAAUCACCUUUAAUUAGGUCAAUUUCUUUUCAUCGGAGUUCAUUCCCUAUGUCAUCAAAUCACAUCAACAUGAUUAAGUGUGAGGGGCAUGAUACUGAUACUAAUUUCUAAGAAGAACGAACCCUCCAACGAGACCUGUAUUUGAAUAGAAGGGUCAUUUUGGAAAAAUAAGAAGCUAAGUAAAGGAUUUUGAAAAAUGAAGGUUUUGAGAAUUUAGGCGUUUUAAUGACUUGGCGUUGAGUGAAAGCAACGUGAGGUGAAGGAAAAGACGGCCAAGAUUAACUGAGUAGUUUGAGGUUCAACACAAGUUGAAGUUAGGCGUUGAGAGUUAGGAAUUUGUUGGGAAAUUUCCUAAUCGUACUUAAUGGGUCACGUGUAAGGGCUUAAGCUAAGGAUGGUUUGAAAAAUUAUUAGACUUACACGUGUAUUACUUUAAGUAGGAGCUGACAAGCUUAAGGAAAAUUAAGGAUGAUUAACCCAAUUUAGGAUUAGUAUAUAAACAGAAAUGAAGAGUUAGUAGAACAGAAGAUUAUGCUUAAAUUCUUAAGGUUGUCGUUAAAAGGAAGACUCACUAUGCGAGAAGAAGGCCAUUUGGGGAACUAGGCAUUCUAAACAAAAGAAAAGCGUGUUGUGAGUGAUUUUCCAAAAAUGUUUAAAUAUUUAAAGCUUUCUACUAAAUUUCCUUAUUGAUUUGUAAUAACAUUCAUAUGAUAAUGUUUACAAAGAAUGAUUUCGAAAGAAAGUUUGUGUUAUGUUUAAAUGAUUGUAUUGUAUGUUAUAUAUGUCUGUAAAAAUUUAGUCUUAUUUCUCUCAAUGAAGCUAACUAUUAUGUACACAUAAGGAGUAAAGGAACCUAUGUAGAAAAUAACUGUAUGUGGAGUGAAAUUGACCAAUGCGUAAAAAGAGUGUAUUGAUCAGCUUGGUGACCUGAGCAACGAGAACUUGAACCAAGAAAAUUUCUAAGGAAUGUUGAUGAUGAAAAGGACGUUACCGUAGUCUAUGUGUGGGAACGGUUCAUGUUCUUGGAAGAAAGGAAUAUGAAAGGCUAGUGAGUGAUUUCUGUUUUAUGAAAAGAGACGAUGAAAACCAUAUUUAUGAAAAUGAUUUCACAUGUUGUCUGCAAAAGAAUUUUCAAAACUAUCACUCACUAAGCUUUGACUUAUGUUUUAAGUUUUUCAUCCCUAAGGUUUCAGACGUUAUGGCUAAGUGUGGAUAAGGAAGGUAAGUUGCUACACGAAGAAGCUAAGCAAGACGUUCUAAGUUUAUUUCAUAGAUUAUCUAUUUAAGAAAGUGUGUAAUAAGUGUAUUUUGAUCACACGCUUAUAAGUAAUAAAGUGAAGUUGUUUUUCUACACUGCGUUAUGAAUUUAUAUAUUUCUUUAUCGCCUAAUAUUUAAGUUUAAGUUCAAUUUAGUUGAGGUUAGGUUACUUGAAUUGCAUUGGGUGAGCAAGCUAAGUUCAACGACUUAAGUUGAGCAUUCUGACGUUUCAUAUACUUGAGGCGUCAUGCCUACUCAAGUCAGGUCGCAUUACGAAGUUAACAAUGGGUGUAGGGUAGGACGUGACACCAACAUAUUCAUAAUUGUAUGAUCGAUAAUAUUUGUUUUGGGUAUAAUCAUCACAAUUUUGGUUUUGAUUUCACCUAAAAGACAUUAUUUCAUUGAAGAUAAUUGUCCUUACUCAUACAACAUAAAUCCUCCCUAUAUCUAGCCAAUGUGAAAAUUUGUUUCGCACUCUAACACCAACAAUGAGACUAAGACCCACACAUUAUACCCAAAAGGCUAAGUCAUCUACAACCAUAUUUUGAAAUGAGUCAUAUGUAAUAAAAUUGAAUAUCCAACAAUGAACCAUGAACAAAAUACCUUUUAUUUCUAAUUUCACAUAGAACUAACAAAAUAGCUCUUGUUAACAACUGGACAACUAUCACGUUGCUCAACUCCACCAUAGUUGUAACAUCAACCUAACAUCUAUAUAUGUGAAAAACACACAUUAUUAACCUGAAGAAUUAAGUUUUCACCAAAGUUAUAGACAAUGUAAACAGUGCAAGCAACACUACAAGAAAAAUGUAAAACACGACUAAGUUGGUAACCCGGUUUAGUGCAAUCACACCUAUAUCUGAGGAGCCUUGAGUCCAAUCGAAAAGACCAUUUAUUGAAAUUCAAAAAAGCUCACAAAUAUAUAGCUUAUCAAGAAUUAUUGUCUUGAUAUACAUAACUUUGACAAGAUCAAAGUACAGACUACCUCUAGACCACCUAAAGCAUGAAUAAGAGCUUUAAUCUAUGCUCCCUUAGAUCAAGUACUCCACGCUUUACCCUUUUGACUUUAUUGCCCAGGCUCUCCUUGGGAGAGACACCUCAUAAUUCACUUAUAAUGUUAGGCUUCCCCUGACGUUUUAAAUCUUUUCAAUCUAGUGUAUUAUAAAGUCGUUAGUAAGGUGUUCAACACCACACACGAGAAUUUCUCAUAAGGAACUCAACGUCAACCUAAAACACCACUUGAAAUAAACAUCAUUGACUCAUGUUUUCCGCCUAUAUAAAACACCACAGUUCACAAGCUCUUGUUUAGAUCAAAGACCAAGAAAAUAACGAAAUCACUUGAAAACUUGAACAUGAAAUUAUACUAAUUUGAAUCCUAGUUAUAAGAAGAUCUUUAUAUUAAUCAAAGAUUCAAACUCUAAUAAUCUUUCCAAAUUUGAAUUUGAUGUCCAAUUGAUCCACAAAGUUUGAGAAAGAAAAGAAGAAAGAGUAUAAUCACUCUAAUAUCUAAAGUUUAGAAAAUAAUUUCAAAUAUUCGUUAAGUUGUUAGUUCAAAGAUGAUUUUGUCAAUAAAAUUUGGUGAGGUAUAUAGGUGUAAUGUAUUUAAUUAUUUUAUAAUAGACUUUAUGAAUUAUAAUUUAACACGUAUGUUAUUUAUAAUAUAUAUAUUUGAUUACAAGUCAUUAGAAAUUAGAAGGUGGAGAAAGCAAUUUCAUUUUUUCAAGUCAUCUUUUUAGUUCUUAUUAAUUAGAAAUUAAAAGAGUAUAUAUAAUAAUAAAUAAAUAAGGACAGCUUUCAAUAUUAAAAAAAAAUGAAUAAAUAAAUAAAAGAAAAGUCGAGAAUGCCACGUGGCUGAAGAAAAGGCAAUAAAAGAAUGUGGGGCCAUCAAUUAUAAGGUCCACGUGGUAUCGUUAAUUUGAUCCAAUCCAUUUCUUUAUUUAUAUAUUUAACAGAAAAAUCCUAUCUGUCUUUCAGUACGCUGCUUCGAAUAUUUCGCUCUUCUUCUUCUUCUUCUUCUUCUUCUUCUUCUUCGUCGGAGAUGGUGAAACCCAACCACUUGAAAAUGGUGACGGAUUCUGACGCUGCCGAUCUCAUUUCCUCUGAUCUCCGGGAACUCGGUAACGCUGCUAGAAAGCUUGCUACACACGCUGUUAAGCUCGGUGCUUCGGGUUUUACUGCUUCUUUUCUCCAAUGGAUUGCUUCCUUUGCUGCUAUGUAUGUUCCCCCCCUCUCUCUCUCUUUUCUGUUUGUUUGAUUUCUGAAUUUUUUUUAUGUUGUUUGUUUGUGGUUCUUCGCUGCUGAUCGGUUAUUUUAGUAGUUUUUUUUUUGCUGUGAGAAAGCUAAUUGGUGAUUUUGAUUCGAGGAAUUGAGUGUUUUUCAAUUGAUUUCUACUUGAUUUUAGUAAUUUGUUUGUUGAUUUAUGUGAUGAAGUGGUUAAGGAGUAUGACUAUGAUUUAGUUAGGGAAAUGAUUCGUGUUACAUUAAGAUAUGUGCUUCUGAGUGUUCUUUUUCGUGUUCCUUAUAUUAAUCUACUUUUAGGUUUUCAUAGAUCGUCUUAAUUUCACUUCGAUUCUUUUUAACUGCAGUUACUUGUUGAUUUUGGAUCGGACGAACUGGAAGACGAAUAUCCUUACUUCAUUGUUGAUUCCGUACAUUUUCUUUAGUCUUCCCGGUGUGAUCUUCGGUUUUUUCAGGUGAUCAUCUCCACUCCAAGCAAUUGCCUUCAAUUGAAGCUUCUGGAUUUGCGUUUUUUUUUUUCUCUUUUUUUUUUUUUUGGCUAAAUUGCUCUCUCUUUGCAGGGGAGAGUUUGGAAAAUGGGUUGCCGUCAUUGCUGUUGUGCUCCGUCUCUUCUUCCCGCGACGAUUUCCAGGUACAUUAGCCUCGACUUGAUUAAUGAUUACACAUUUAUUGAAUUCAUUUUUGGUUAAUAAUAAGUACAGAUUGUGCUAGCUGAUAAGUAUGUUGAUAUAGAUUUAGAGCCAUUAGUCGUUCUGAUCUUCAUUUAGAGAUUUUUGGAUGACUACCGCAAUUACUAGUUUUGAACUUUUGCUUUCUUCCCUUUUAGAUUAACUUUCUAAUUUAUGAACUGCUUGCUUUUGUUUUCUAAUUUGUUCCUUUACUUUUUUAAAAGUAUUUUUUGAAAUCUUAACUAAAUUUGAAAAGAAAUUUUCAGUGGUUUUCUGAAAACUAUGAGUUGCUUAAUUUUAUUUCAGAAACUGUUUGGUAGGAUGAUGUUUAUUUUGUUUUGAAAAAGAUGUUCUUCCUUCCUAUCACACAUGUUCUUGAUUUUUAAACAAUAUGUAAACAGGGAAGCUGUUUUUGAACAUGAUUUUGAAAGACCCAUCUCAUCUAUUUUCAAACUCUUUAAGCAUUGAUGUAAACAAACAAUUCACAAACAAAAACCCAUUAUCAAACCUCUUUGACAUCUUUGAGGUUAUGAAGUUUGACAGGAAGAACUUUAUAGUAAUCAAAAGAUCCAAAACUUUAGUUCAAAUAUAGGAAGUACCUUUAGGCAUUUAGUAUAUCUUCAAAACUUAUUUUCACAUUUGUAUUCCCAGCCCCAAGAUAAUUUGAUUCACCAAAGUUAAAAGGAACAAAUUACAUGUCAAACCUCAUUCAUAAUUAUUCACACUCCAAUCUUACAAGUAAAAGGGAUAUACGUUAGAUUUCAUCUUUAGGAUAUAGAUUUGAGAUUCGAGUUUUGUUUCAAUUUGAUAAUUGACCCUAAUUUUUUAAUUUUCCAUCUUGAAUGUUAAUCUUCAUUAAUUAAUUUCAGAGAAAUGUAAUUAAUUAACACUCAUUAUUAAGUAAUUUAAAAAUGUAAAUAUUAGGGACCAAAUUGGAACUAAACUCAAAACUUAACUAAACUAAGUAAUUAUAAAACAUUACGAAACUCAAAACUUAACUAAACUAAGUAAUUAUAAAACAUUACGAAAUUAGGGACGAAAAUAGUUUUUUUACUUAAAAGUUCAAGUUAAUAAUAGUAAUUUCACAUCACAUAAUUAAGUUACAAUCUAUUAUCCUGUGGAAGUAUAAUUAUUGCAUUCCAUGCUCUGAUUGUGUGGUAAUACAGAUUGGCUUGAAUUGCCUGGAGCUUUGAUACUUCUCAUUGUGGUGGCUCCAAGUUUGUUUGCCAAGACCAUAAGAAACGAUCCCAUCGGAGAAGCAAUCUGUUUGAUCAUAUCAUGCUAUUUACUGCAAGAACACAUCAGAGCCUCUGGUGGAUUCAGAAACUCAUUCACAAAAGCGAAUGGCAUCUCGAACACCAUCGGCAUCAUCCUUCUCUUCGUUUUCCCUGUCUGGGCACUGGUACUCCGUGUUCUUUGAUUGGUUUUUUCUUUUAUUUUCAAAAUGCAAUUAUGCAUUAUUGAUCUUUGCAUUUGUUUGGGAAUGUGGGCUUGUGAGAAUUGUGUUUACCUUUUUUUCUCUUCAAAUUGGGUGUUUGAUUGUCUGAAUGUAGGGGCUGUAUCAGUGUAAAGUUAGAUGAGGAGUUUCUCUCACAAAAGAUUUGUGUAUCAUUUCUUUGAGGGACAAAAUGUGAGAUAAUAUAGAUGUUAUUGUGCUACAAACAGACUUUAUUGCAAAUUAAUAAUAAUAAAUAAUAAAUCUAAAAUUUAAUAAUUAUUAUUAUUAAAAUAUAAUUUGUGGAUUACACAGAUAAUGUAAACUAGAGCAAUGGUUUUACGGUUGUAGAGAUGUUGAAUUUGAAAUUUUGAAAUUUUGAUGUGUAAACAUAUAUCUUAUUAAAAAAGGGUAUAAUUAAAGUGCAGAUUUGGCCCAUCUAUUUAUUUUAUAUAUAAUCUCUCUAUUUAUCAUAUUGUAAAAGAAUAAUGAUUAAUUUUUUUAUAAUAAAAGCAUUGAUGAGUUAUAGCCAAAGUUUUUACCUUUCUUAUGAAAAGAAAUUUAUAUAAGCCUAUUAUUGUCACACCUUAAUAGAAAUGGAUAAAAGUCUAUUAAAAAAAUGUAUAAAACUCUAUUAAAAAAAGGUAAAACUUUUGAAUAAAAAUCUAUUAAAUAAAGGUAAAACUAAUCUUUUAAUAAAGUAGUCUAUAAAAUUGAUAGGAUGUAUCAUUAAUACUAUAAUGGAUAGAAUUAUUGAUUUCUAUUUUUUCUUUUUUAGUUUUAACAUUUUUCGGGUGGAUGAAUAUUUGUCUGAGGAAAAAAAAGAAGAAGAUAUUGAUAUAUAGAUUGAUUGAUAGAGAUGGGCUAAUUUAAGACCACUUGUCUUUGUUGGUGGAUAGCACUCAAGUCAAGGGAAUGUGCCUAUCUAUGUGCUUUAAUUGGGUUAUAGUUGCUACCAAAACAACUUUCUCAACCCAAACUUGAACAACUCUAAGUCACUAUCAAAGUCAAAGAGAAAUAUUCUUAGGAUGUAGUGUAGGAUAUUCGAUUGGAUCUAUGGAGUCCUCCACAUUUCACCCCACACUCAUUUGUGUAGAGGGUGAGGUCGUCUUUUUCUUCACUUCACUGUUCUUCACUAUUCAUUUCUACAAAAUUCUCUAUUUAAUUCUACACGAAAUUGUGGUGGAGAUUCCAUGAAUUGAAAUCUCCGUCAGAAUUUUUUUUCUCGUACUUAAAAAGAAAGUAAUUAACUUAAUAACAAUUAUUGAAAUGAUUGUUUUUAAAUGUAGCAAAAUAGACUAAUAUAUAUAUAAUAUACCAAAUAUUAGUGCCUUUCUAGCGAUAGACAAUUAUAGACAAUAUCGAUCAUUACUUAUCAUUGAUAUACAAUGACAUUUUGCUAUAUUAAAAAUUAUUUUCGGUAAUUUUGUCGUUUAAAAUAAUUAUCCUUACAGAGAAAUUUUAAUCAUAAAGAACUUUUAAAAGUUCACGAACUCAAUUAAUUGUUACUAGAAUGUCAUUGCAACUAGUCUAAUGCUUUAUGAGUAGUUUUACGAUUUCUCUCUUUUUUUAACGAGUUGCAAUUGACAAUUACAAGAAAGCACUAGUUUUGAGAAAUUAAUUUAAAAAAUGUCGAACAGUUUAAUCACCUUUAAACUUCCUAAGAUUUUUGUUACUGCUAUGUGUGUGUGAAAAGUUCAGAUUUAAAGUCACACUUUGACAACUCCAAUAGUAAGUAAUAAAGCUUAUUGUCUGCCAAAUAUAUGUGUUCUUCCACAAAAACAAACACAAAAAUUGACAAAAUCACCACCACUCACUAUUUGCAUCAUAAUAUUCUCUCUUAUUAGAAUUUCAAAAGAAGCUAUAAUAUAAAUUAAAGGAUGGCUUCUUCUAAUAUUUUGUACAACACUAUUUUAAUAUGUAAUAUUAGCUAUUGAAGUUUUCAUUUCUUUGCGUUCUUUGCCUCUUCAUAUAGUUCAUCGAUUUGCUCCUGUAAAUGAAAUGAAACAGAAUAAACUCUCACAUUGCACAUCACUACAUACACUGCCAUCAUACAAUGAGAUAUAUCAGAAGUUGUAUAUAGAUUUUGGACUGCAGUUCAAGGUGAGGUUAACUAUUGUUUGCGAACCCACUUUUUCAGUAGCAUUUUCGAUAAAGAAAAUGUUUUUCAAAGAAUUUUGUGGUGCUUCAUGUCAUAAGACAGGGGAGUAGAUCCACACACGAUCUUUCAUCCAAUCCAAUCCAACUUGAAUUUUAUUAUUAAUUGUUUCUUAUUAAAUUAAAAUAUUUAAAUUUAUAUUUAUAUAACACAGUCUCUAAGACCUCGUUUGGUGAACAUUGUGUUUUUUGUUUUGUUUUUUAAAAUUGAGUUUAUAAACACUACUUCUCCCUACAUUUUCUUUCUUUGCUAUCUACAUUCUACUUAUAAUUUUAAAAACUAAUCCAAAUCUUGAAAGUUAAAAAUAGUAACUUUCAAAAAGUUGUUUUUGGAAUUUGAAAUUUGACUAAGAAUUCAACCAUUGUAAUUAAGCAAAAUGCAAAAUAUUGUAGGACAUAUGAUAGAAAUAGACUUAAUUUUCAAAAGUAAAAAACGAAACAAAAUGAUUACCAAAUAAGACCUAAAUUUUCAUAAAAUAAACAAAUUUUAAACAUCAAAUAUCUCUAUUAUCUAUUACAAAUUUUAAACUAAAACAUCCAUGGAAGAAAAACAUUAAAAUUCCACGAAUUCUAACACUUUAACAAAAUAUGUUAUAUGUUUACUUUUUUUUUUUAGUAUAUAAGUAAUUCAGGUUAGGUUGGAGUUGGACCAACUCAACAAAAAAAUUGAUUAAAUCCAAGACCCAACCUAUUCCAACCAAAAUAAAAAGAAUUACGAAUGGGUUUGGAUAUUCUAAGGCUAAGAAGAAUGGACAUUUCAUAUUAGAGGUCGUAUGGUAUCGAACACUUGGGGGACAUGGAUUCAUCUAGAAAUGUUUGGACAUGUGUCUUAUACACAAAAUUCCGUGUUUUUUUAGAAAAAAAAUUAGACACGUCCAAACACACCCAAUUGUAGUUUUUAGCCAAGAAGGAUCGUUGCAGGGAAAAAGAGAAUUUUCAUAUGGAGGAAGGUUUUUGCUUCAAUAUAAUCGUGUUAGGAACUAAGGUAGUAUGGAAUGCUUUCUUCCCACGUUAAUUAGAAUGGGAUGACGAAUGUAGUAAUUAAGUGGCUUGGCUGGUGUGGUUCUCGAAGUACUUAAAAAUACCCACCAAAUCGCACAUACACGGGUGAAUUCUUCUUCAAUAAUUUAUUCCUAUCAAAUCACAGCCAAUUGGGAAGCAUGCACAUCCUUUUCUUACGUUGGGUGCGUAGAGAAAGAGAAGGGAAACCAAAAUGGAAUGCAAAAAAAUGUCUUUCAUGGUAUGGGUACCUUUUUGAAACACAGCCCUAAUGGCCAAAAAUAAACGUUAACAGGCAGUACACUGAGUUUAGCACUCAAAAAAUAAA
rnacentral:lncRNA from 1 species